rnacentral:rRNA from 1 species
UACGAAGGUGGCAAGCGUUACUCGGAAUUACUAGGCGUAAAGGGCAGGUAGGUGGUUUGGUAAGUCUGUUGUGAAAGCUCCUGGCUUAACUGGGAGAGGUCAACGGAUACUGCCGGACUUGAGUAUGGGAGAGGUUACUGGAAUUCCCGGUGUAGCGGUGAAAUGCGCAGAGAUCGGGAGGAACACCAAUUGCGAAAGCAGGUCACUGGCCCAUUACUGACACUCAGCUGCGAAAGCUAGGGGAGCAAACAGC